UUACGGCCAUAUCACGUUGAAACACCAGUUUUCGUUCGGUCACCGAAGUUAAGCAACUUUGAGACUGGUCAGUACCUACAUUGGUGACCGCUUGGGAAUAUCAGGUGCUGUAA